rnacentral:lncRNA from 1 species
AUAAGUUUGGAACUAUCAGUACCACGUGUUCCCAUACUCCUUUGGUGUGCCACACCUAGACCUGAUGGACAAAGUCCUUUCCAGUGGAUGUUGCUGAGGUCUCGGAGCGAGGAGCCUUGUUGUACCUGGCAGUGUAGGAACCCUCAUCCUUCUUGGGGCAGUUGCAGCAGAGCAAACCCCCUCCAAUCAGCAGCAGGGCAGUGGCCCCCCAGCCCACGUAGAGCGCCCCCCCCAGCUCCCUCUUCUGAGCGCUUACCAGGAGCGGGUUGUAGAAGUCCUGGAUGAUGCUGUGGGCCGUCCAGCAGACAGGGAUCAGGCACAGAACUCCGGCAAUGAUGAACACCACCCCGGAUGCCACACCCACUUUAGCCUUGGCCGCCUCGUUAUCCACACAGUUGGUGCACUUGCCCCCGGCUACGGCUAGCAGAAUGGCAAUAAUGCCGGCGAGGAUGGCAAUGAUGGUCAGAGCUCUGGCGGCCUGUAGGUCAGAGCUCAAGGCCAGCAUGGAGUCGUAGACCUUACACU